CCUCGCCUCGCCCCGCCUCGCCUGGAGCGGGGUGAGGACGCGGCACCCAGCGACCGCGAAGCGCGGUCUCUCGUUCGGGUGAAGAGACGCGGCGCCCGCGCUCCUGUGUCGGGGCUAAAGGAGUGCUUACUCUGGCCAGUGUGUUUUUGGAAAGCAGCAUGGACACAAAGUCUUGUAAUAUAAAGAUGGUGGAAAAUAUGAAGGAGAGCUCAAUGGAAUGAGAGAAGGAAUGAGGACAAUUAUGAAGGAGCCUGGAUUCUAGACAAGUAUAAAAGUCAUGGAAUAUUGCCUUGCGCUGUUGGAAGAGUAUAUGAGGGGCAGUGGAGAAAUGACGUAUUCAAUGAACGGGGUGCUAUAGUUAAUUGUUCUGGUGACAUCUGUGAUGGACUGUGGAUCAAUGGCUACCCUGCUGCUGCAAAUAGUUGUGGUCCGGAGGUCUGGGCUGGCAUCAGAAACCACCAAAUCCCAUCAACUUCUGCUACAAACUUACCUGAGUUAAUGGAAGAAACCAAGAGGAAAACAGUUAACUCCUGUGUACAUAGUGUGGGGAAGAGCCAACUUCAUUAUGUAUUUCCCUUGGUUAAUAUGCAUAUGCAGUAAUCUAAAACCAGCAAUUCUGGAUUUGUACUGGCUGAUUUACCAGUCCCAAAUGGAAAUAGAGCCAGAAUUGGGAUCUGACACCCUGUAUGGAGUAGGACAGGCUUCAAGCAGCCAGCAUGAAAGGCGGCAAAAAGCCAAGUGGCAGGAUAUCUGCUGAGAAAGCUGAGAAGAUGACAGUCUCGCAGGAGAAAAUGGAAGACAGCAGGAAAAAUUUCACGCAUAUUACAGAAUUUCACUGUGUGAUGGAGAUCCUUGUCAAUUCAUGAAGAAUAUUGAAGAGCUGAGGAGGAUGGGCUUGAUUUAACGUAUGAGGAUUCCUGCUUGCUGAACAUUGUCGUUCAUGUGGACAAAUGCUGUGGAGUGGUGCAGAGUGCUGAGGCAUCCUCCAGUGUGAUCUCACAUGACAUCCAAAGAAUACAAGCUACAAAAGGAUCGGCACUUAAUGAGGAAUUCUAAGACAUUACAAGGGUACUGAGAGUUUAGAAUCUCCUUUGCAACACUGGCUGCUCUGAAGGGGCUCUGGAUGUUUUAUGAGGAGUCUUUGAAUCUGAACCUUGUGAGACAAGGAAGAGACAGCAAGCAGAAGCUUUCAUGUGUCUCACAGCUGCCUUCCUAUCAGAGUCAAGAUCUGAUUUCCUUCCUGAAAGGUCCUAUUGUUUUCGGCAAGGACUGUUCUAAAAUCUACUCCCAGAGCCAUGAAGAGCAGAAGAGGUGUGACAUGCCUGUGAAAACAUCCUCAUCUAUCAGCUCCUGAGGCUUUACGUAGGUCGCCAUGUGAGAGGGAUGCGUACAUCCACGCAGCCAGGCCACAGGUGGGACGUGUCACAGCUGCAUCAACAGCCUCCAGCCGGCAAGCACGCUCUGAACACGGCUCCUCACUAGUUAGCACAACGUGAAAUUGUUCCUUCAUGACACCACAGCACCUAUCCUGCUUGAGGCAGCUUCAUUAGACAAAUCCAAACAUGGAAAUCAACUUUUUGUAAGCAUCAGGAUAAAUGCUAAUAUCUUGGAGCCAGGACUUGAAAACACAGAUGACUUGUGCCCAGCAAAGUUUUUGGAUGCUGCGUACGCCGCUGUUUAUCCACGAGCUCAUUGCUGAACAUGAGGCUUCAGUCUUCCAGCCUGUAGUUCCAGCACCGCUUGUGAGCCAAGGUCCCGCAGGUUCAUUCACGUGAAAGACGAGGGCGAGAACGGCUGGAUCCCUUUGGAGUCUCUCGUACCUUGGAAAAGGGACCUUACAGCUCCCUGUGCUCCUUUUGCCACCACCGGGGCGGGGGAGGAGGAAGAGAGCCAGUGGACGGGCGCUCUGCUGGGGCACGUUGGAAGGGAACUGCUUGAGCUUCAUAUGGGCAGGCCAGGAGCCUCCAACAGCUUCCACCUUCCAGAGAAAGAGGCACCAGCUCAGCCUGGAUUUGCCCACUGUUGAUACCCAGCUGGUAGAAACAGGAAGCAAACCAACCCCUUAGAAAGCAAGGCUGCAAUGACUCACAAAUCUAAAACAGCAAAGGUUCUUCUUAGUUAAAAACACAACUCAUAAAACAAGACAACUACCAGGUAAGAAAGAGUUUUGAAAAAGUAAACACCAUAUACACUUAUAAUACAACAGUGUAAAAUGAAAAAAAGUAUUUACAUGUUGAAUUUACUUUUAACUUUUUUUUUCUUUACAUUGGCUAGUUCUGUUUGAAAAGCAGAAUAUUAUGUAUACUAGUUAGCUGCUCCAUAGAUAUGAAUGUUAUUGCUGUUGUUUUUUUUUUUUCCCUUCGUUAAGUCUUCUUUCAGUAAUAGAAACAAUGAGUAAUUAAACUGAAUAUACAAGUACUAAGUAAUAUAUUUUUAAGUACAGGGAGAGUCAACAGCCUGUAUGAAACACCUCUUCUCCCUUUUAACUUCUUAAAGGAAACUAAAGCGCAGAUGAAAUGGGAAGAGGCGAGGUUCCCGCUCCCGCGCUGGGGGGCCGGGGAGCAGCAGGGGCACCCGCGCGGGCGGCUGGGGGGUGACGUGCUGCACGCACAGAAAUUACACACAGAACUCCCUCACCUUCAGCACCUUCACAACGGGGUGGUUUUCCCCUGAAGAUUCCCACUGUUUUGACAGCCAUUUUCUAGAAUUAGUGUCCCUGUGGCCAUCUUGUGACAACUUUAAAAUUACAUGUGGAGGAAUUUUGAAUUAGAAAUUAUGUAUUCUGCAGAAAUAAAGAUUAUCUUGUUAAAAUGUAUUUAGGAAAGACACAAUUAUUGAAGAUAAGACUACUAUCCUGUAAACCUCUCCUGUUGAUUAACUGCUGGUAUAGAACGUUUGUUCCCAGUCUUCUUGCACCUUAUUUAGUCUUACUGAUUUUAAGCCUUAAUUUAUAGAAAUAUUUUUACUAGGAAGUUUUUCCCUCCCAAGGCUCAAAUAUGAUCGAGUCUUAACCUCAGACAUUGUCAAGUUCAUUUGUCAUAUACGACACGUCACAAUGACCACAGUGUGUGGCAAAUGAAGCCAGGGCUUUGUUACAACAGUUGUAACUAUUUUGGAGACUUCUUUCUAAAGAAUCUCAUCCCACUGGUGUGUGAGGCACAGGUGUUGCUGGUUGGUUGACAAGGCUAUUUAUUGUUGAUAACACUAUUUACUGUUCUGUUUUUCCUUGGGAAAAAAAUAAUGCAGAUUUCAUUAAUUUUGGAGGAUAAAAGCAUCCCAUGCACCAAAGAAAUUGUGCCAGUGCAUCAGUUUGCUUCCCCAGGCACCCAAGAAAGAAAAGCUGUGGUGUGCCACAGCUAAGUGCCCUGCUCCUCCUGUGAAAAACCAGAGGGAGCCACGGUGCCGCCUUCUGCUGCAUCGUAAGGGGACAGACACCAUCCAAGAUGGGGGGACAAAGCCCCAAACAACACGUGAAAAAGCUUUGAAGCAGCUUAUGGGGGGUGGGGAUACAGUUGUUCUCUGUGUAAUUUCUUACCAUGGCAGUAAAGCAUAGCUUGAGACUUUGAAAUGCACAAUGAUCAACUACAGCUAAAAUUAUUUAGUUUCCCUUGAAGAAAUAAGUGAAUAAUACAGAUCUGGAAAUCAUAAGGCUGAGAACAUUUUUAUGCAUACUGCGUAACAAAACAAACCCUUUACAUAAGACAGUAAUAAUGCCCAUUAAUGAAUAUACGUAUGGCAGAGAUUUUAAUUCCAUGCAUAUGAUUUAAUAAUCGCAGAAAAAACAUACAAAGAAGCAAAAAAAAAAAAAACAAACCCCACAUUAAAAAAAACCUGCUUAAGCAUAAUCAAAAUUCCUUUUGCAUUGCACUUUAGAAGGAGAUCUGCACCUAGCCUCAGUCUCCAGCAUCCCACACGCACAGGGCCAACCCCUGCAUCCCCCCACAGCUUCGUGUCCUUUGCCUGAUGUCACUGGUUCUUGCUCCCAACACUUUUACAUUGUCCCAGUAAUUUUACUCCGUUCAUAUUUCUUCUUUUUGUACCUAAAACAUAUAUAUGAACUUCUUUGUUAAUGCUCACAGUUAUUAUAAUGAUUAUAAUGGUUUCAAGCAAACAGCUCUUGUUUUGUUUUAAAAAAAAAAAAAAUAAUCUCUAAUGUACUGAAAGUAAAUACUAUAAUUUUAGGAUUGAAAGCCGCUUUUUGUCUACCGGAAAAUAAUUUUCAAGCUUACAUAGUUUGUAUUAAUGUCCAAAAGCAAAUAAGAUUACUGGAAAUAUGUUCCUUUGUUUAGAGUAACUUCUGUGUAGGAUGAUGCAUAGGGUUUUAUUUUUUAAUAUUUUUUUAUUUUUUAUUCCUUAAGGUAAAAAAGUGUCAGCAUUGCCUAUGUAAGAUGCUGAGAGGAAAAAUGAGCUGGAAGGCACAUCUGCAGCCCCAGGUCAAAUUUUCACUUCGUGCUGAUAAACUUGAGUGUGCAAGAGGUGAGUGUUUGUGGGUGAAAAGAACUUUUCUCUUGUUCAGUAAAGCACCAACUGUAUUUGUUAAGCACGGCCGGGAGCAGCUCUACUGCUUCCCACCGCCGGCGGUGGUACAGAGCCAGGCAGAACGGGUUUGGAACCCCACACACGUUCUCUACCUGCGGAAUCCUCAGUCUGCAAAAACGUCACCGAUGCUGUGAGUGUCAGAUGGUGGAAAAUCACGUUGCUGAUUUUCACAUCUGUCCAGCAGGGGAGAAUCUAGAAUGCUCAACUUGUAAACUUUAGAAAUAUGGAAUAAAAUGCAGAGUAAGAUUUUGACAAAGUGCAGUUUUUAAAAAAAAACAAAUCAACAACAACACCAACAGUAAGACAAAGUGAUGGCAUGCUGCAUUUUUAUUCCGGGGCUGCGGCUUGGAUCCCAAAAUUAAAGUAAUUUCUCUUUUUGAAAACAAAAAAGUUUCUUUUUUUUUUUUUUUUUCCAAAUGUAGGCUUAUUCACAGCAGCAAAAAUGUUGUUUUUCUUUUCUGUAGUAUCCGAUAAUGCGAUGUUACGCUCUCCUUGGGCACAGAAAUCCUGACCGACAGUUCAUAAUAAAAGCAGGUAAAUACUGAAUUUAUGGUAAGAUGGUGCAACAAAGAUGAGUUUUCCAGAAAACUGAAAGCUGAAGAUUUCAGAAUGACUUUGAAACGCAUGUGUCUUCUGCUUUAUUUCUCAACCGACUUAACGGAUCCUCCAUUUCCUUCUUUCUUUUCCUAAAGCUGAAGUGCUCUUGGAUGAAGUGAGUCUUUUGAACACAUCGAUUGAUGAAGAUGUCUUUAGAAAAGAUGGCGUGGUUUGCAAACAGGGCAGGCUGUAAGGCUGGGACAGGAAAUGAAGAUAAUUCUUGCUAAGGAAAAAUCAACUUUGAAAAGUACUCUGAAAUUCUCCUACAACCACGUGACGGGUUUAAAACUGCGAUGGCUUCCUAGAUGGCUGGAAAACUGCUAAUGAAAUGGCAUCAUCACCAGCGGGCUUCGACGUUAAGAAUCCCAGCGCCUAUAACAAGUCAUUAAAAAUUGUGCAUCGAAGGUUUCUUUUGUUUUGCUUUUAAAGGUUCAUUAUAAAAAUCUUGUGGAUUUUUUAAUACCAA